rnacentral:tRNA from 1 species
GUUUUAAUAAUUUAAAAAAAAUUUUGAUUUUGUAAAUCAAAUUUGAAUACAAUUCUUAAAGCA